rnacentral:rRNA from 1 species
CCUACGGGGGGCUGCAGUGGGGAAUAUUGCACAAUGGGCGCAAGCCUGAUGCAGCCAUGCCGCGUGUGUGAAGAAGGCCUUCGGGUUGUAAAGCACUUUCAGCGGGGAGGAAGGCGUUAAGGUUAAUAACCUUGGCGAUUGACGUUACCCGCAGAAGAAGCAUCGGCUAACUCCGUGCCAGCAGCCGCGGUAAUACGGAGGGUGCAAGCGUUAAUCGGAAUUACUGGGCGUAAAGCGCACGCAGGCGGUCUGUCAAGUCGGAUGUGAAAUCCCAGGGCUCAACCUGGGAACUGCAUUCGAAACUGGCAGGCUAGAGUCUUGUAGAGGGGGGUAGAAUUCCAGGUGUAGCGGUGAAAUGCGUAGAGAUCUGGAGGAAUACCGGUGGCGAAGGCGGCCCCCUGGACAAAGACUGACGCUCAGGUGCGAAAGCGUGGGGAGCAAACAGGAUUAGAUACCCGAGUAGUC